CACAUGCAAGUCGAACGAAGAGCGAUGGAAGCUUGCUUCUAUCAAUCUUAGUGGCGAACGGGUGAGUAACGCGUAAUCAACCUGCCCUUCAGAGGGGGACAACAGUUGGAAACGACUGCUAAUACCGCAUACGAUCCAAUCUCGGCAUCGAGACUGGAUGAAAGGUGGCCUCUAUUUAUAAGCUAUCACUGAAGGAGGGGAUUGCGUCUGAUUAGCUAGUUGGAGGGGUAACGGCCCACCAAGGCGAUGAUCAGUAGCCGGUCUGAGAGGAUGAACGGCCACAUUGGGACUGAGACACGGCCCAGACUCCUACGGGAGGCAGCAGUGGGGAAUCUUCCGCAAUGGACGAAAGUCUGACGGAGCAACGCCGCGUGAGUGAUGACGGCCUUCGGGUUGUAAAGCUCUGUUAAUCGGGACGAAUGGUUCUUGUGCAAAUAGUGCGAGGAUUUGACGGUACCGGAAUAGAAAGCCACGGCUAACUACGUGCCAGCAGCCGCGGUAAUACGUAGGUGGCAAGCGUUGUCCGGAAUUAUUGGGCGUAAAGCGCGCGCAGGCGGAUUGGUCAGUCUGUCUUAAAAGUUCGGGGCUUAACCCCGUGAUGGGAUGGAAACUGCCAAUCUAGAGUAUCGGAGAGGAAAGUGGAAUUCCUAGUGUAGCGGUGAAAUGCGUAGAUAUUAGGAAGAACACCAGUGGCGAAGGCGACUUUCUGGACGAAAACUGA
rnacentral:rRNA from 1 species